CCAUGUUGACACCUAGAUUGGCGCCAUCAACGAUUGAAAUUUCCUCAAAUUUCUUCCUUAGGCCCUCAGUUACCUUCCCAUUAAGACCUUCAAUGGCCUUUGGUUCGACAUCAGCAACCUGUUCACCUUCGACAUAAAUUCCAAAGGGAACAUCAUUAUUUUGGCCAUCAGUAGUCUGCUUUCCAACUAGCAUAUAACCUUUAGUUCAU
rnacentral:lncRNA from 1 species